GAUGAACGCUGGCGGCGCGCCUAACACAUGCAAGUCGAACGAUUAAAGCACCUUCGGGUGUGUAUAAAGUGGCGAACGGCUGAGUAACACGUGGGCAACCUGCCCCUCUCAUUGGGAUAGCCACGGGAAACCGUGGAUAAUACCGAAUACUUCGGGACUUCCGCAUGGAAGACUCGAGAAAGCUCCGGCGGAGAGGGAUGGGCCCGCGGCCUGUUAGCUUGUUGGUGGGGUAAUGGCCUACCAAGGCAAUGAUGGGUAGCUGGGUUGAGAGACCGACCAGCCAGAUUAGGACUGAGACACGGCCCAGACUCCUACGGGAGGCAGCAGUGGGGAAUCUUGCACAAUGGGCGAAAGCCUGAUGCAGCGACGCCGCGUGCGGGAUGAAGGCCUUCGGGUUGUAAACCGCUUUCAGCAGGGACGAGGCGAAAGUGACGGUACCUGCAGAAGAAGCCCCGGCUAACUACGUG
rnacentral:rRNA from 1 species